CAAUAGCGUAUAUUUAAGUUGUUGCAGUUAAAAAGCUCGUAGUCGGAUUUUGGCUGAGAACGAUCGGUCCGCCGUUAGGUGUGCACUGAUUGGUCUCAGCUUCCUGGUGAGGAGGUGUGCUUCACGGCCACUUAGUCACCGUGGUUACUUUGAAAAAAUUAGAGUGUUCAAAGCGGGCUUACGCUUGAAUAUAUUAGCAUGGAAUAACACCAUAGGACUCCUGUCCUAUUUCGUUGGUCUCGGGACGGGAGUAAUGAUUAAGAGGAACAGUUGGGGGCAUUCGUAUUUCAUUGUCAGAGGUGAAAUUCUUGGAUUUAUGAAAGACGAACUUCUGCGAAGGCAUUUGCCAAGGAUGUUUUCAUUGA
rnacentral:rRNA from 1 species